GGACCGGCCCAUAUGGUCUCUUCUCUUCGUCCUCCUCCGUCCGUCUGUCGUCUUCAAGCUCCGGCCUCCGCCCUCUCUCCUCCGAGGCUCGCCUACUAUACUAGUCUUGUGUCCUGCUACUGCUAGGGGAGGGGCGGAGGUGGGAGACGACCGAGGAGGGCCGCCAGACCGGUGUUUCAUCUUUAGAUGCCCUAUUCCCUCCCCUCCUCUCCCUCAAGCAGUCAAGUUCAAUCCCCACCGGCGCGGCGCAACUGAACCGUGGUCGCUCGGCUCGACGACCACCCGUUAGCUAGAUGCCUGAAGAGAAAUCAGGUGGAGGAGGCGGCGGCGGCGGCGGCGGCGGCGGCCAUGGCGAUGGCGGCGACAUCUACAACGUCCAGGCCGCCGAGAUCCUCGCCAAGGAGGCCCUCCUGCUCCCCAUCAACGAGGCCGCCCCCAUCUACGAGAAGCUUCUCGCCACCUUCCCCACGGCUGCCAAGUACUGGAAGCAGUAUGUCGAAGCCUACAUGGCCACCAACAAUGACGAAGCCACCAAGCAGAUUUUCAGCAGAUGCCUGCUCAACUGCCUCCACAUUAGCCUUUGGCGCUGUUACAUCAACUUCAUCAGGAGAAUUAAUGAUAAAAGGGGCUCUGAGGGUCUCGAUGAGACAAAAAAGGCCUUUGACUUCAUGCUGAACUAUGUUGGGAAUGAUGCCGCUUCUGGGCCUGUUUGGAUGGAGUAUAUUACAUUCUUGAAGUCAAUGCCUGCUGUGACACACCAGGAAGAGUCGCAUCGCAUGACCACCGUACGUAAAGUGUACCAGAAAGCAAUUUUAGUUCCAACUAAUCAUGUAGAACAGCUAUGGAAGGAUUAUGAGAACUUCGAGAAUUCCGUCAGCCGCACCUUGGCAAAAGGCUUAUUAUCUGAAUAUCAACCAAAAUUUAACAGUGCUAAAGCUGUAUAUAGAGAGCGAAAAAAAUACAUUGAUGAUAUUGAUUGGAAUGUGCUGGCCAUCCCCCCUACAGGCUCUUACAAGGAAGAGCAACAGUCUAUGGCAUGGAAAAGACUCUUGGCAUUUGAAAAGGGGAAUCCGCAAAGGAUAGAUGUUACAACAGCUAAUAGGCGUGUUACGUUUACUUAUGAGCAAUGCCUGAUGUAUCUAUAUCACCAUCCUGAUAUAUGGUAUGAUUAUGCUAUGUGGCAUGCGAAGAACGGUUCUAUCGAUUCAGCAGCCAAAAUAUUUCAGCGUGCUCUAAAAGCGAUCCCUGAUUCUGAAGUACUUAAGUAUGCUUUUGCUGAAAUGGAAGAGUCCAGAGGGGCAAUACAGACUGCGAAGACAAUAUACGAGUCUCUUCUAGGUGAAAAUGCUAGCGUGACCUCACUCGCGAACAUUCAGUUUAUUCGGUUUCUAAGGAGAACUGAAGGCAUUGAAGCAGCUCGUAAGUACUUUUUGGAUGCUCGGAAGUCACCAAGCUGCACUUAUCAUGUGUAUGUUGCUUAUGCUACAAUGGCAUUCUGCCUUGACAAGGAUGCAAAGGUGGCACAAAGUGUGUUUGAAGCAGGUUUAAAGAGAUUUAUGCAAGAGCCAGGAUACAUCCUUGAAUAUGCGGACUUCCUGUGUCGUUUAAAUGAUGAUAGAAAUGUGCGUGCUUUGUUUGAGAGAGCACUAAGCUUACUUCCUCCUGAGAAAUCCAUAGAGGUAUGGAAGCGGUUUGUUCAAUUUGAGCAGACUUAUGGGGACUUGUCAAGCAUGCUUAAGGUUGAACAAAGAAGGAAGGAGGCUCUAUCUAGGACAUCAGAAGAUGUCCUAUCUGCAUCAGAAAACACACUUCAUGACGUAGUUUCUCGAUACAGUUUUAUGGAUCUUUGGCCAUGUUCAUCAAAAGAAUUGGAUUAUCUAGUGAGACAAGAGUGGCUUGCAAAAAACACUGUUAAGGUUGACAGAUCAGCUACGCUAAAUACCGGUAGUAUGAUAGAUAAAGGUACUGUGGGAAUUAGUGCAAGAGCAAGGUCGCUACCACAAUCUGGAAAAGUUGUUCGUCCUGAGACUUCCCAAAUGGUUAUUUAUGAUCCGAGACAGAUGAAAGAUGUCCUACCUGGUUUUAUCAGCCUGGGAAGGGGAAUGAUUUUAUAGAAGAGGGUUUGUGGUUGGAUUGGCCAUGUGACAUUGCUUUUUAGACUACUCCAACCCCUUGGUUGGCAAGAGUGGAAAAUCAUUGUUGAGGACAUCAUUGUUGAUUUGUCAGGCCCAGAGUUUUCUGCGGCUACCAGUGGGUACACGAAGGAGGUUGAAGACAUGCUUAAAAUGCUAUCUCCGUCGACUACGUCUUUCAUCAAGAAUUUGCCUGCUAUUGAAGGUCCAUCGCCGGAUAUUGAUGUGGUGCUCAGUGUGCUGCUGCAGAGCACAUUGCCAGUCGCACAGAAUGCUGGGAAAGCAGGUGUCGCGAGCGAGCUCUCAGGCGUCGGCAAAUCUGGACUAAACCAGAAUGGAUCUGUCCAUAGACCUCCAAGAGAGAGAAGAAAGGAUGCUGGAAGGCACCGGGUGCAGGAGGAAGAGGAUGCGGCCACGGUACAGAGCCAAGCCGCAGCGCCAAGGGACAUAUUCAGGCUUCGGCAGAUCCAGAGGAGCCGUGGGUUGGGCGUGGGUGGUGCCGCCGCUGCCUCGCAAUCUGGAUCCUCGGCAUUCUCCUUCUCCGGCGGUGGAAGCGCCUUCUCCGGGGACCACUCUGCGAGCACAGACUAGUAGUAGUAGUUACUAAUAUAUAUUUUUUUUAACAAAUCACAGUACAUCCGUAGGUAUUGUGCUUUAGUGGAAUGUAUCUAGUGGCUGACUUGCUGUAUUUCAGAAUUUACAUUGUUGUAGAGUAAUGUAAAGAACCAAACCAAACCAAACUGUUGAUGCUAACUUGCUAAGCUUUGAGUUAGGCCAAUCCCAAUGGGGUGUUUCAUUU